rnacentral:rRNA from 1 species
CCCUACGGGAGGCAGCAGUGGGGGAUAUUGCACAAUGGGGGAAACCCUGAUGCAGCGACGCCGCGUGUGGGAAGACGGUCCUCUGGAUUGUAAACCACUGUCCCCAGGGACGAAAAUGACGGUACCUGGGGAGGAAGCUCCGGCUAACUACGUGCCAGCAGCCGCGGUAAUACGUAGGGAGCGAGCGUUGUCCGGAAUUACUGGGUGUAAAGGGAGCGUAGGCGGGGAUGCAAGUUGGGUGUCAAAACUACCGGCUCAACUGGUAGUCGCACUCAAAACUGCAGCUCUUGAGCGAAGUAGAGGCA